GACGAACGCUGGCGGCGUGCUUAACACAUGCAAGUCGAACGGAAAGGCCCUGCUUUUGUGGGGUGCUCGAGUGGCGAACGGGUGCGUAACACGUGAGUAACCUGCCCUUGACUUUGGGAUAACUUCAGGAAACUGGGGCUAAUAUCGGAUAGGAGCUCCUGCUGCAUGGUGGGCGUUGGAACGUUUCGGCGGGUGGGGUUGGAUGCGCGGCUUAUCAGCUUGUUGGUGGGGUAGUGGCUUGCCCAGGCAUUGACGGGUAGCCGGCCUGGGAGGGUGACCGGCCACAUUGGGCCUGAGAGAGGGCCCAGACGCCUACGGGGGACAGCAGUGGGGAAUAUUGCACAAUGGGCGGAAGCCUGAUGCAGCAACGCCGCGUGCGGGAUGACGGCCUUCGGGUUGUAAACCGCUUUCGCCUGUGACGAAGCGUGAGUGACGGUAAUGGAUAAAUAAGCACCGGCUAACUACGUG
rnacentral:rRNA from 1 species